CUUGAACUCUCUUAAUUAUUUUUCUGAUAUCAAUGACCACGAGUCUCCGGUAAUUAUUAACUGGUGGCGUGUAAUUACCCCUGCCAUUCGUCAUUCAUGUUUUGGAUAUGAGGUAAUUUAAACCAUGGUGACACACCGCCCCGCCCAUCCCUCCGCCCUUCCUGCCCCAUCCCCACCUCUUCCCGUCCCGCCCAGCCCCGCCCCCAUCAUUAUUCAGAUUGUCCUGAUUGGUCAAACAAAAAUUCCCGCCAAAAGUAUUGACCAAUAAGGUUGUUAUUCCUAUGGAGCAAUCACAGCAAGCCUGCGAGUGAAAUGUGUAUUUAAGAGUUAGCGAGAUGUGUGAAGGACCGAGAGAACGGAGCAAUGGCUUGUGUUUCUGAGGUUGCUGAAAACCAAAGCUUCCCAUACCGGGAUUCGAACCCGGACCGUCUGGAUGAAAGCCAGAAAUCCUACGCGUUAGACCAUAUGGGAGGAUCUGUAGAAGAAGAGCACGAUGACGAGAAUCUAAAAAGGAUCAGAAUGUUUCAUUGUUGAAACUGUGACAGACUGUGAUGCUGUGACAGACGAAAGUGUGCUAUAUCAUACAUUUCAAACCUCGUCUCUCUCCUUCCCUUUCUGACCUGGACCUGGAUGCUUCAGUGCCCUGACUACAGAUAAACAGCAGAAUAGUUUAAUAAUGAGGAAAACUGACCAAAGUGGCAGGACAGUACAAAUAAAGAUGUUAUUGACAUUUAAGGGAAUGAACAUACAGAUUAUACAAUAGCCAAGAACUCCCAUCCAUGCAGCAGCAGAACAUGCCAGCCUGUAUCUCAGGGGCUUGUACUUCAGGAAAGUGACAGGAUGGACCACCGCCAUGUAACGCUCCACACAGAUCAAACAGAGAAACAGAGGAUGGGCGCAGAUAAAUACUCCCCCAUAAAAACUACUAAUGGUGUAAAUUCUAAACAGACAAAACUAAGAACGUAGAAUAAACAGCGUAUGCAGAUGAACAUCUCGUUAACAGUCAGAUUGAGGCCGAAAAACUCAGACACAACCGCACUUCCUUUUCUCAUCAAAAUAAGCCAUAAGACGUAGGAAUUGAUAGGUAAACCCACAAUGAAAUUGAUUGCAUAACCUGGAAUGUACAUAGGGUCUGUAUAUCCUGCCCAAGGAUUCCUGCUUGUAGCAUUUCUAAACAGGUUUGAGAUGGGUGUGCUGGAAAGCCCAUCAGAGACGUUCAUCUUCAGAGUGCACACCCCUUCUCACAAUAAAAUAUGAAAUCUGAAAUAAAUUACACAAAGAAAAUUAUAUAAGGGCCAAAUAUAAUGAAACAAACAGCCUGUUUUCUUUAUCAGAACAAAUUCAUUGUAUAGUGUUUU